UACGUAGGGGGCAAGCGUUGUCCGGAUUUAUUGGGCGUAAAGAGCGCGUAGGCGGUCCGGUAAGUCCGUUGUGAAAGUCAAAGGCUCAACCUUUGACCGCCGAUGGAUACUGCCGGGCUAGAGUCCGGAAGAGGCGAGUGGAAUUCCUGGUGUAGCGGUGGAAUGCGCAGAUAUCAGGAAGAACACCGACGGCGAAGGCAGCUCGCUGGGACGGUACUGACGCUGAGGCGCGAAAGCGUGGGGAGCGAACAGG
rnacentral:rRNA from 1 species